rnacentral:rRNA from 1 species
AGUGAACGCUGGCGGUAGGCCUAACACAUGCAAGUCGAACGGCAGCACAGUAAGAGCUUGCUCUUACGGGUGGCGAGUGGCGGACGGGUGAGGAAUACAUCGGAAUCUACUUUUUCGUGGGGGAUAACGUAGGGAAACUUACGCUAAUACCGCAUACGACCUACGGGUGAAAGCAGGGGAUCUUCGGACCUUGCGCGGUUGAAUGAGCCGAUGUCGGAUUAGCUAGUUGGCGGGGUAAAGGCCCACCAAGGCGACGAUCCGUAGCUGGUCUGAGAGGAUGAUCAGCCACACUGGAACUGAGACACGGUCCAGACUCCUACGGGAGGCAGCAGUGGGGAAUAUUGGACAAUGGGCGAAAGCCUGAUCCAGCCAUACCGCGUGGGUGAAGAAGGCCUUCGGGUUGUAAAGCCCUUUUGUUGGGAAAGAAAAGCAGCAGGUUAAUACCCCGCUGUUCUGACGGUACCCAAAGAAUAAGCACCGGCUAACUUCGUG